CAGUCGUACCGACGAGAAAUCAGCUUAUCGUGUGUUAACUUGUGGGCGUGCGUGAGUUUCGGCCUCGCUGUUUGCAUGUUUGUGCGCUUUGGGUGUACUUUUUCGUAUGGUUGGCCAACAUCAGUUUCGAUCACUAUAAAAUGACUGGCGGAAUGUAGCUUCGAUUUCGGUUGAAGUGUUAUAGCCUCUGGUAGAUGUGGUGAUUGAGACUGAGGAUUGCAACGAAUAUCCUUUGGGCUAUCCGUCUGGCCUCUGAAAGUUGCUUGGGUGCUGAAAGCUUGCUUAUGGUUAUCUAAGUUAACGGUCAAUAGGUUAGAACGUGAUUACAUUCGUUAAGGAUGUUGGCGUAAUGGCUUUAAACGA
rnacentral:rRNA from 1 species